rnacentral:rRNA from 1 species
CUGCCUAUGGUAUGGUUGGUGAUCAGGGUGAAGUCGUAACAAGGUAGCCGUAGGGGAACCUGCGGCUGGAUCACCUCCUUU